GUCGCAAGACCAAAGAGGGGGACCUUCGGGCCUCUUGCCAUCAGAUGUGCCCAGAUGGGAUUAGCUUGUUGGUGAGGUAACGGCUCACCAAGGCGACGAUCCCUAGCUGGUCUGAGAGGAUGACCAGCCACACUGGAACUGAGACACGGUCCAGACUCCUACGGGAGGCAGCAGUGGGGAAUAUUGCACAAUGGGCGCAAGCCUGAUGCAGCCAUGCCGCGUGUAUGAAGAAGGCCUUCGGGUUGUAAAGUACUUUCAGCGGGGAGGAAGGUGUUGUGGUUAAUAACCGCAGCAAUUGACGUUACCCGCAGAAGAAGCACCGGCUAACUCCGUGCCAGCAGCCGCGGUAAUACGGAGGGUGCAAGCGUUAAUCGGAAUUACUGGGCGUAAAGCGCACGCAGGCGGUCUGUCAAGUCGGAUGUGAAAUCCCCGGGCUCAACCUGGGAACUGCAUUCGAAACUGGCA
rnacentral:rRNA from 3 species